UUUUAAAAAAUUAUCUGUUUCUACUAUUAAAAAUUGGCAUAGCUGACAGAAUAAUUAAACAGUGACACAUAACAUGCCACGUAUAUCUCAUGCCGAUAUACAAUGACCAGUUUUUAACAGUAAAAAUAGAUGAAACUUUUAAUA
rfam:Gossypium arboreum cultivar AKA8401 contig_59_11, whole genome shotgun sequence.